UUCAUCUUAGAGCUCUGGUUCAUCUUUUUCAAAAAUUUCAGCUAGUCAAAAAAUUCAGCGAGCAUCUCUAGUUUGUUCUUGUCAUUUUGCUCCUCCUAGUAGAGUUUCUGCCAUUCUCUUUCCAGUCUUUCUACAUUGCUUAUCCUUUCUAAGAUUUGUGUAGCUUCUAUAAUUGUUUUCUCCAUGAAAUUACCUCCUACACAUAUUGCUUAGUGAUACAUAACAAGACAUAUUGCUCUCUCUCAAGUGUUU
rnacentral:lncRNA from 1 species